GUGGCCUUAGCUCAAUGGUAGAGCACUGGAUUGUGGCUCCAGCGGUUACGGGUUCGACCCCCGUAGGCCACCCCA
rnacentral:tRNA from 2 species